UGAGCCAAAGUUGGACGCUUAACUGAGUGAGCCACCCAAGAGAAUUGCACAAGGACGUCUCAGAAGGCUCCAGGCAGACAACCGUAAUCAUCCUGACGUACCUGGAUUCCUACCGCUUUUGCCUCCAACAGCACAUUUGGAAUAUUUUAUAAAUCUGCCCCAGAGACAAAGAGGAAGCAUUUUGUUGUGAAAAUCUGGCUUUUUGUGAUUGGACCAGGAACAUGGCACACACAUUUAAUUCAAGAAACUAGUAUCGUCUGGUAAAACAUCUCUUAUUUAGUAGAGAUUCAGGGUUUUUAAAAAAAACAUUUCUCAAUGGGCUUAACUAAUGAUUCAUUUGUUUAUUUUUAGUGCAUUUGUUUAUCCUCUAAUUAUUAAUGAUAUACUCAGGUGUUGGCUCCUCACAUCUCCUUUCUUUGUCAACAACAAAGGCAAGCCCAGCUUGCCUCAAGAUGAGGUAAAAUGUUCACUAUUUGAGAGCCAUUGAUUUUGAUGAUUUUUCAUCAUAAAAAUUAUACAUGCAAUAUAAAUGACAUGUAAAUUCCUUAUACUUCACUGUGGCUUUUAUACAACAUAAAACCAAAAUAUUAAAUCUAUAAAAAGUAAAUUCAA